rnacentral:lncRNA from 1 species
UAUUAGCCCAAAAUGCUCCAGCCUCUCAAUCGGUCAAUCUCUACCAACUCUGUCCACCAAAACACUGCAGCACCAAUCGGCCGAUCUCCAACUGUAGCACCAAUCGGCCGAUUCCCAAUCGUGACCUUUUAACUUGCCGCAUCGGCCAAUCCUUUCCUCCUUGACGCUGAUUCCCUACGUGUCAAAAUCUGGCAUCAACACAUGCC